GACGAACGCUGGCGGCGUGCUUUAUACAUGCAAGUCGAACGAUGAAGUUCCUUCGGGAAUGGAUUAGUGGCGAACGGGUGAGGAACACGUGAGAAACCUGCCUUUCAUUCUGGGAUAACACCGGGAAACCGGUGCUAAUACCGGAUACUCCGCCUUGGCGGCAUCGCCGAGCCGGGAAAAAAUUUUGAUGAAAGAUGGUCUCGCGGCCUAUCAGCUAGUUGGUGAGGUAAUGGCUCACCAAGGCGACGACGGGUAGCCGGCCUGAGAGGGCGACCGGCCACACUGGGACUGAGACACGGCCCAGACUCCUACGGGAGGCAGCAGUAGGGAAUAUUGGGCAAUGGGCGCAAGCCUGACCCAGCGACGCCGCGUGAGGGAUGAAGGUCUUCGGGUUGUAAACCUCUUUUAGCAGGGAAGAAGCGAAAGUGACGGUACCUGCAGAAAAAGCACCGGCUAACUACGUGCCAGCAGCCGCCGUAA
rnacentral:rRNA from 1 species